CAGAGACAAGGGCCAGCACCCUGGAGGAGGGCAGCGCCUUCCUUUGCUCAGGCUGCAAAGCACCAUCUGGUCCACGUAUCAUGGACGAGGAGCCACAGCUCCUUGUGAGCUUCACUCUUGCCUUGGUGAAUUGGCGUUGUAUUCGACUCCAGCGCUUUCUGCUAUGCAACUAUUUCCCUUUUGUUAUAUUUUUAAAUUUUAAUGUUAACAAAAAGUUUACUGCGAGGGUGAACCAAGCCCUCCCGCAUAUACUUUCCGCCACCUCCUGCCAAGCAACACCGCUGGGUGCGGCGGCAGCAGCAGAAUUCGAACGCGCGGCUGGGUGUCCAAGGCAACCCCGUCUCCUCUCCCCACGGGCGCCUAGCCUCGCAGCCUCGCCCCGUGCCAGCUGCCGUCCGUGGGACCCUCGGGCAAGGCCAGCGCAGCUCCUGCGAGAAGGGUCCGGUCCCUCUCCUCCUCCUCCUCCUCUCCAGCCCGAAACUUAAUAUUCCAGGCAGCUCUGGCGCUGGGAGGCACCGAGCGCCUCGCUGCCCCUCGAGCGGAGGGAAUAUUACUCACCGGGUCAUGGUCGGCUGAGUAAAAUACAACCCUCAUAUAUCAUCAUAACUGCCAGCAAAUGACAAUUAUAAUUGAGACGGCAAUAACUAGGAAAGAGUUCCUUAAUUUAACAUCCAAUUAUUACAAGUUAUCACUCCUUAAUAAAUGUAAUAUAACAGA